rnacentral:rRNA from 1 species
CCUACGGGUGGCAGCAGUGGGGAAUAUUGCACAAUGGGGGAAACCCUGAUGCAGCGACGCCGCGUGGGUGACGAAGUAUUUCGGUAUGUAAAGCCCUAUCAGCAGGGAAGAAGAUGACAGUACCUGACUAAGAAGCCCCGGCUAACUACGUGCCAGCAGCCGCGGUAAUACGUAGGGGGCAAGCGUUAUCCGGAUUUACUGGGUGUAAAGGGAGCGUAGGUGGCAUGGCAAGCCAGAAGUGAAAACCCGGGGCUUAACCGCGGGACUGCUUUUGAAACUGUGUAGCUAGAGUGCAGGAGAGGUAAGUGGAAUUCCGAGUGUAGCGGUGAAAUGCGUAGAUAUUAGGAGGAACACCGGUGGCGAAGGCGGCUUACUGGACUGUAACUGACGUUGAGGCUCGAAAGCGUGGGGAGCAAACAGGAUUAGAUACCCCAGUAGUC